AGAUUGAACGCUGGCGGCAGGCUUAACACAUGCAAGUCGAGCGGGGAAAUGUAGCUUGCUACAUUACCUAGCGGCGGACGGGUGAGUAAUGCUUAGGAAUCUGCCUAUUAGUGGGGGACAACAUUUCGAAAGGAAUGCUAAUACCGCAUACGCCCUACGGGGGAAAGCAGGGGAUCUUCGGACCUUGCGCUAAUAGAUGAGCCUAAGUCGGAUUAGCUAGUUGGUGGGGUAAAGGCCUACCAAGGCGACGAUCUGUAGCGGGUCUGAGAGGAUGAUCCGCCACACUGGGACUGAGACACGGCCCAGACUCCUACGGGAGGCAGCAGUGGGGAAUAUUGGACAAUGGGGGGAACCUGAUCCAGCCAUGCCGCGUGUGUGAAGAAGGCCUUUGGUUGUAAGCACUUUAAGCGAGGAGGAGGCUCCCAGUAUUAAUACUACUGGAGAGUGGACGUUACUCGCAGAAUAAGACACCGGACUAACUCUGUGCCAGCCGAGCCGACGGUAACG
rnacentral:rRNA from 1 species